UAUGUAUAUACAUAUUACAUAUAUGCAUAUAUUGUUAAGUUACCUUAUUUCGCUUUUUGAACUUCACUACUGCAACAAUUCUGUAACUUUUAUCGACACGAUUCGUCGGAUCGCAAAGUUGAAUUUUGUCGCCUGCGCUAAAGAAACAUCGUUAUUCCAAAUUAGUAUGUCAAUAGUUUUAAGCUGGCUUUUGAAUAUAUAAUGUUUUUGAAAAGUGUAAGUAAAAUGAAAUGUUUGUUAGUUUUUGUAUUAUUAGACAUGCCUUAUUGUAUGUAUAAUUUUAAAAUGGAUACGACAAAAAGAAACCGAGCUACAAUGGAGCAGCUAUUGUAAUUCGGAUGAUGGAUUUUUUCGGAAAAACGCCGGGUUUGACUUGGUAUCGGUUCCAAAAGCUCCAUGGAAAAUCAGAUUGCGACAGUAAGAGGAGCGAAUUAGUACUAGUACGCUGAAUUGCCUUAGUGGUGCUUUGAAAAGCGUCGAACAAUGGCGCCCGGUAUGGAGGGAUCUGAAAAGCCGUCCAGGCAUCAAGUUCCGAGACGGGAAAAGAAAGCGGUCAAUCACAGGAAACAAUCCCAUUCAUGAGGAGCCACUCACUGAAUUGGAGAGACGAGUCAUUGCCCUUGUAGGUAAUGACUAUGUCCAGGGCCACGAAACGUUUCUGAAACUGUGCCUAUAGAAGAGAAACUGCAACUGCGAUUAGAGGAGGGUGAAGAAGCCACAAAACUCCACGUAGAAGAAGUAAGAAAAGUGUGAAAGACGUGAGCGAUGCGCGAAACGCAUUUUUAGAAAUUGCGCAAGCACAAGCGAAUAUUUUAAGAAUGUUAAAAAAGUCGCGUGCAGCUUCCACCCGAAUUGCAAGCAGGCAAGCUGAAGCCUUGCAGGUAAUUUUUUUUAAAUGCUGUAGGAUAAUUUUUUUUAAUAGUUGUUAGAUGAAAGCAUUGCGUCGGCUACGCAGGCAUUGGCGGAUGCUAUGACCACAAUGGGUGAAGGAUUACAAGCUUGUGCAGCUGCCUUCAACAACGGCGCAAUUAGACGGAUGUAAAUAUAUUAUGGAGUUUAAAGUUAUUUUUUCCUUA